UACGAGGGGUCCAAGCGUUGUUCGGAAUCACUGGGCGUAAAGCGGGUGUAGGUGGCCAAGCAAGUUGGAUGUGAAAGCCCCAGGCUCAACCUGGGAAGUGCAUCCAAAACUACAUGGCUUGAGUAAGGAAGAGGAUAGGAGAAUUCCAGGUGUAGUGGUGAAAUACGUAGAUAUCUGGAGGAACACCGGUGGCGAAGGCGCCUGUCUGGUCCAUUACUGACACUCAGACCCGAAAGCGUGGGUAGCAAAC
rnacentral:rRNA from 1 species